rnacentral:rRNA from 1 species
CCUACGGGCUGCAGCAGUGAGGAAUAUUGGUCAAUGGGCGAGAGCCUGAACCAGCCAAGUCGCGUGAGGGAGUACUGCCCUAUGGGUUGUAAACCUCUUUUGUCGGGGAGCAAAAGCCGGACGUGUCCGGCUGUGAGAGUACCCGAAGAAAAAGCAUCGGCUAACUCCGUGCCAGCAGCCGCGGUAAUACGGAGGAUGCGAGCGUUAUCCGGAUUUAUUGGGUUUAAAGGGUGCGCAGGCGGAUUUUUAAGUCAGCGGUAAAAUCGUGGGGCUCAACCCCAUCCAGCCGUUGAAACUGGGGAUCUAGAGUGUGCGAGAGGUAUGCGGAAUGCGUGGUGUAGCGGUGAAAUGCAUAGAUAUCACGCAGAACCCCGAUUGCGAAGGCAGCAUACCGGUGCACAACUGACGCUCAGGCACGAAAGCGUGGGUAUCGAACAGGAUUAGAUACCCCAGUAGUC